rnacentral:tRNA from 3 species
AGAGAGGUGGAUGAGUGGUUUAAGUCGCACGCCUGGAAAGCGUGUAUACGUUCAUAGCGUAUCGAGGGUUCGAAUCCCUUCCUCUCUGCCA